GAUGAACGCUAGCGGCGUGCCUAAUACAUGCAAGUCGAGCGAAUGGAUUAAGAGCUUGCUCUUAUGAAGUUAGCGGCGGACGGGUGAGUAACACGUGGGUACCUGCCCAUAAGACUGGGAUAACUCCGGGAAACCGGGGCUAAUACCGGAUAACAUUUUGAACCGCAUGGUUCGAAAUUGAAAGGCGGCUUCGGCUGUCACUUAUGGAUGGACCCGGGUCGCAUUAGCUAGUUGGUGAGGUAACGGCUCACCAAGGCAACGAUGCGUAGCCGACCUGAGAGGGUGAUCGGCCACACUGGGACUGAGACACGGCCCAGACUCCUACGGGAGGCAGCGGUAGGGAAUCUUCCGCAAUGGACGAAAGUCUGACGGAGCAACGCCGCGUGAGUGAUGAAGGCUUUCGGGUCGUAAAACUCUGUUGUUAGGGAAGAACAAGUGCUAGUUGAAUAAGCUGGCACCUUGACGGUACCUAACCAGAAAGCCACGGCUAACUACGUGCCAGCCGCCGCAGUAA
rnacentral:rRNA from 1 species